rnacentral:rRNA from 1 species
UGAGUAACCUGCCCUUAACUCUGGGAUAAGCCUGGGGAAACUGGGUCUAAUACCGGAUAUGACUCCUCAUCGCAUGGGUGGGGGGGUGGAAAGCUUUUUUGUGGUUUUGGAUGGACUCGCGGCCUAUCAGCUUGUUGGUGAGGUAAUGGCUCACCAAGGCGACGACGGGUAGCCGGCCUGAGAGGGUGACCGGCCACACUGGGACUGAGACACGGCCCAGACUCCGUACGGGGAGGCAG